CUGGCUUCUGUGCAGGCGCAUGAGCGUGUGUGUGCUGGGAUCAAGGGCUGCAGACUCAGCAGCGGCCUCAUUAAGUAAGCGCGUCUGCUAGUGUAUCGCUCUUUCUCGCUGUGUGCUGCGUGGGUCUUUAAGUGAGAAGAAGCGGUCUCGCUCGCUGCCUGCCUGCCUGCCUGCCACGCACACGCACACGCACAGCAGUCCCACACGCACACGCAUCAACUAGAGGAGGUGCGGACGCUCAUCGCUGGCGUGGUGUUUUGCGGUGCGGGUCAUCUCACAACACCCAUCGAUCGAAACGCGGGAUGGCGGAAGUGCGGCAACAGCAGAGUAGCCGGGCUGUCAGCAACGUCGUCGAGUACCUUCAGCUGGCAGGGCGGCGCUACCGCGAGCACGUAGAGCUCCUCCGGCAGGAGCAGGCGGUGCGAGAUGCCCAGCAUGCACCGUUCAAACCCAACGUAUCUUUGUAUGCCGAGCGGGUGGGUAAGAGUUCUCUGGCGCGGCAGUCGUCGUCCAUCGGCGCGCGCCUGCACGAGCUUCAUCAGAAGAAGCUCGCACUCUUGGAAGAAGAGGCGCAAGAGGAGGCGAAGCGGCGCGCGGCGGCCGAGGCGCAGGACUGCCCUUUCUCUCCCACCGUUACGCCACAUGCGGCGCGGUCUCGUCGCACCGGGAGCGACGUCGCAGCGGCUCUCAUGCAAUGGGGAGAACAACGUCGCGCCCGCCAAGCCCGGGCACAGGUGGAGGCGGCACGCGACGAGCUCAGCAAGGUAUCCGCCGCGCCGCGCAUCACGGCGUACGCAGAUGAGAAGGCGAGGGCCGAGCGCGGCGGCGUUUCAGUGGAGGUCUCCCUGACCGCUGAGGCCGAGGCACGACGACAGCGCCGUCACGCUGCGUUCGAAAAGGCGUACCCUGCUGCCUCCUCCUCCAGCGGUGCCACCUCAGCGAGGCGCUUCUCCCCUUCCAUCUCGGCCUACGCCUCGCGGAUCGAAUUCGAAGAGGAUGUGGUAAGUCGCCUAUACGAGCGCCACGGCAGCCGUGGCCACUUGGCGCCACGCGACCGCCUGUACGACGAGGAGGUCGCCCUCUACUGCACCUUCCACCCCAAGCUCUCUGCCCGGUCGACGGAGCUGUCACGACGGUACUACGAGGAGGAGGGCGAGGCGGACACAGACCCGCACGAGCGGCUUUUCCGCAACACGCACCACGCGUCCAAGUACCGGAAGCCGGCGCAGCUGAGCGUCUUCACCGGGCAGCCAGAGAUAAGCGACGCGUCACGGCGCAUAGUGGAGGAGCGGCGUCGGCAACUAGCGCUGGAUGGGCAGCCGGGGGCUCUGGGUCUCAGCCCGGGUAGCCGCCUGUGUCCGGGAACCGCCAGUUUCGCUGCGGCACAGGCGACGAAGACGUCCAAGAAGAAAGUUUUGUCGGCUCGGGAUACCGAGGCGCAGGAAACGGUGACCUUUACCCCCUCUGUGAGCCCCGCAUCAGAAGCGCUGUGGCGUCAGCGGGUGUCGGCCCUGAAGGCGAGCGGUGUGGCUCGCAACACCGAGGAGGCGCGGCAGCUACUGUGGCGCAAGGCAGAAAAGCGCAAGGAGGAAGAGGUGCUGAAGUUGCAGGACCAGCGACGGCGGAAAGAGGCUGCAGAGUGCACCUUCCGGCCCAAGGCUGGACGGCCACCGCAGCGCAGCUCUGGCUACGUAGCGAUGCCUGUCGAAGCACGAGCAGCGUUGUGGGCGCAGCAGCGUGACCGCCACCUCGCCGAUCUGCGCACCGAACUCAGCGAGAUUACAGUCGAGGAGUGCACUUUUCGGCCUCAUGUUGAUCCCGUGUUCCCGCUGCCCCGCGGUGACGCCAAACCAGCGUGGGGUGUGGAGGCGUUCCUGGAGCGGCAGGCGGAGGCCAGGCGGCAGCGGGAGGAGGCGGAGCAGUGGUGGCGGCCAAAGUACGCACGAGCGCCAGUGGCCCGAACCUCGCGUGUUUCUCGCUGGCGCUCGCCGUCCAGCCGCGGCGCCAGCCAGCCUUCGACGCAGAGGACAGUGAGUGCCUCGCGCAGGAGCGCCGCCAGCAGCACUGCGUCUGAGGCAGAGGACAAUAAGAGAAAAGAAGAGGGUGUAUUCGAGCAGCACUGGGCACGUCCGCCAGCGAGCACCUCUUUGACCGCAUCUUCAUUUUCGCGAGUGUCGCAGCAGGAAGUGCCAUCGGCGGAGUCGUCGCCGGCCUACGUGGCGCCGCAGCAGCCAAACACCCUCUUCCCGUACACGGUUGACAUUUCACCGAGUGGACCAUAUCCGUGGCGCCCAACGACGGCCGCCGGUGCUUCAGAAGCCGCUGCCGGGGAGGGCGGCAGUCGCGCCUCCGCGGCCUUCUCGUGGCGUAAACCGCUCCGCUACCGUCCGAUUUCCGCGACUGCGACAGCGUCGCGUGGGCGGUCGUCUGCGUUGUGAGCGCUGACUGCAUGGCGUGUUCGAGCGCUCUUUUUUUCUGUUGGAAGCUGUGCGGCGAAGGCUGAAGAGGAGUGCCUGGGUACGGACAGCAGAGGAAGGCCACUUCACCCUGCUGCCCCCUCCCGACACAUACACAUGUCCCCUUCCCUGCUGCCUCCGCUGGCUGGCUGAGACGCCAUUGAGUCCGCUCUAGGCUGAUUUCGCAGUUACUGUCCCCCCCCCCACUUCCACCUGUGUGUGCGCGUGUGCGGCUUUUACUAGAUGGUGUUGAGCUACCUUUCCUAGAC
rnacentral:misc_RNA from 1 species